UGUCAACUCGCGGACUCGCUACAGACGCUGGGCGGAUUCGCUGACUGAACGCGCCUAUUUUCAACCGUCACCAUCACUGAAUCAUUCUCCACAGUGGAAAAGCUGCCUUCAGUUCAGCGAGGACGGAACACGCUUACAGUUCGUUCAAGUGCCACCAGUUUUUUUGGAGUUUCAUCUUUUCCAUUCAUCUGAGUAAGAUUUCCUCCCUGGCAACUAUUGGGGUGUCACAUGGAACAUCCUUUCCCGUAUGUUCCAUGACGAUGUUGGGAGGAGGAUCAAUUGGAAGGGCAUGAAUGGGAAAAAAUCAUUCAAUCAGAUGGAGUCUUAAAAAGUUACUCCUGUGUGCUGUGAGAAAGAGCCAUGUCUCCCGUGCCGCCACCAAUGACGAGAUUAC